rnacentral:rRNA from 1 species
GACGAACGCUGGCGGCGUGCUUAACACAUGCAAGUCGAACGGAAAGGCCCUGCUUUUGUGGGGUGCUCGAGUGGCUAACGGGUGAGUAACACGUGAGUAACCUGCCCUUGACUUUGGGAUAACUUCAGGAAACUGGGGCUAAUACCGGAUAGUAGCUCCUGCUGCAUGGUGGGGGUUGGAAAGUUUCGGCGGUUGGGGAUGGACUCGCGGCUUAUCAGCUUGUUGGUGGGGUAGUGGCUUACCAAGGCUUUGACGGGUAGCCGGCCUGAGAGGGUGACCGGCCACAUUGGGACUGAGAGACGGCCCAGACUCCUACGGGAGGCAGCAGUGGGGAAUAUUGCACAAUGGGCGGAAGCCUGAUGCAGCAACGCCGCGUGCGGGAUGACGGCCUUCGGGUUGUAAACCGCUUUCGCCUGUGACGAAGCGUGAGUGACGGUAAUGGGUAAAGAAGCACCGGCUAACUACGUG